rnacentral:lncRNA from 1 species
UGGAACUCCAGGUAUCCUAACCUGGCAUUACCAUUCAAGACGGGGAGUUAUUCUUCAAAACUGAAGAGCACUUGCCCCUCUAGUCAGCUCUAGGCCUGCUGGUACAGUCCAGCUCUUUGGUAGGCAGAAAUACAAGAACUUCAAAAGAUUCUGCCCUGAAAACUCUCCAGUCUGUUGUCUGUACAGGGGACAAGGACAAGGAGGAACAAGUUCACAUGAGUCUCUUGCUGUUUACUAAAAAUACUGCCAACAUGAUACUUCUGAUAAUUUUGUUAGCAGUACUCGUUUAGAAAAAGGAAGUACAGAUGGGUGAGGAGAUAUAAAAAGACUGUUUUUCUUCUCCUUGUGACAUGUUGUGUAACUACAAUGCUGGAGAGAGCUGGCAGUGAGGAAAAGCAUCAGGGUCAGCUCUGCUUUGCCCAGGCAAAAAUGGUCUUCUGUCUUUUACUACCAAGCACGAAUACCCAGCCUGUAACCUAAAGACACACUGUGGGAAUGGAAAGGCAGCAGAUGAAGGUGGUCUUUUGCUCAGAGUUUCUAAUGUCCAUCUACCUUGCACCAAGACAAAAGGCUCCCCUCUAGCAUUUUCUGGGCGUUACUCUAGCAGUGAUACUUCUGUGCCUGUUUUUAAUCUUCCUUGACACUUCCGCAGCAAUGCACAUGCCCUGAAGACUUAACUUGUCCCAGCUGAGCUGUUUCAGAGCUCAAAAUGUGAAAACAGGAUAAAAAAACCCUGCUGUCUCCCUUGACAGUGCAGGCUUGCUGCAGCCCCUGAUGAAAGUACGAACGGUACGAAGAGAUAUCCAGCCAAGUGACUAACUGCUUCAGCUGGGGACUAGCCAGAACUACGAGUAAACAUUUGGGCUGGAGAUUAGAAAAUCUAUGCUGUGAAGGAUGUUACAGGCCAUUGUCUGGGAUACUGCCCCUGGUGUUUAGGAGAGAUGAGGUAAAUAACUGAAACGGGGAAACCGAAGUAAAAGUAAUGGUGUCCCAAGAAAGGUCCUAAUCUGAUUAAUGUUGUGUUUGGCUCCUGAUUCCCUUCUUCUCUUUCAAUGUGUCAGGUGAUGGGUUAAAGGGUGGGAACCUGAUCCUGAGAGUUCCUU